CGGACACUUGGGAGCCUCGGAAAGACAGUGGAUCUACUAAGAUGUCCUUGAGUCUUCUUUUGAAGAAGUACCAAGGUCUGGAAGAGGCAGGAGAUGGAAACUCCCUCAGUCCUGACUAUCCAGAUACUUACUGGACAAAGACAAUACAGAAGAGGUGCUGGGCUCUGCAACGUGCCCUCUGCACUCAAGAAGGGCUCCCGUAGCAUGAAGUUAGAUGUCUGACCAUCCUGCCCUUACCUAACUGCACUUUGACCAGAACCAUGAGAGCAAAAACAGGGCCUGCCCAGUCUUGGGGACAGAGGACCUGGCAUGCGACUCUUUCAGAUUCAAGGACAUUUAAUCUCUUUCUGAA